rnacentral:misc_RNA from 1 species
AACGCACAUUGCGCCCUUUGGCAUUCCUUAGGGCAUGCCUGUUCGAGCGUCAUUUUCACCCAUCAAGCCCAGCUUGGUGUUGGGCGCCUGUCCGGCUUCGCUGGACUCGCCUUGAAAACAUUGGCGGCCGGUCCCGCGGCUUGGAGCGCAGCACAGUCGCGCCUCCAUGCCUCGCGGGCUGGCGACCAGUAAGCUAUUCUACCACUUUGACCUCGGAUCAGGUAGGGAUACCCGCUGAACUUAA